rnacentral:rRNA from 1 species
AUUGAACGCUGGCGGCAUGCUUUACACAUGCAAGUCGAACGGCAGCACGGACUUCGGUCUGGUGGCGAGUGGCGAACGGGUGAGUAACACAUCGGAACGUGCCCAGUUGUGGGGGAUAACUACUCGAAAGAGUAGCUAAUACCGCAUGAGAACUGAGGUUGAAAGCAGGGGAUCGUAAGACCUUGCGCAACUGGAGCGGCCGAUGGCAGAUUAGGUAGUUGGUGGGAUAAAAGCUUACCAAGCCGACGAUCUGUAGCUGGUCUGAGAGGACGACCAGCCACACUGGGACUGGGACACGGCCCAGACGCCUACGGGAGGCAGCAGUGGGGAGUUUUGGACAAUGGGCGAAAGCCUGAUCCAGCAAUGCCGCGUGCAGGAUGAAGGCCUUCGGGUUGUAAACUGCUUUUGUACGGAACGAAAAGCUUCGGGCUAAUACCCUGGAGUCAUGACGGUACCGUAAGAAUAAGCACCGGCUAACUACGUGCCAGCCGCCGCAGUAA